UUUGAAUUUCCAGAACCUCUUUAGACCUGUCUCUUCCUUUUUCUACGAGUUAUAAUUAUGAAAGACUGGAUAUUUCUGGCAUCAUUUAAUCCUGUGGAUUGCAUCAUGUUGCAUGUGAUCGUUUAAUAAGAUGUGCAUGAUUUAAUAAGCAGCCAAGUCUGUAGUUAUUGGACGCCUUAAGCGUUGUGAACAGGUAAGUUACACAUAGCAGUUUUUAAAAGCAGGUGGAUUUUAUACGUGAACAAUAAAUGACUAAAUAAGCAACGGUAAGAAAAACUGACAUGCAUAAAACGCCUAUUAAAUUGCAAGUCUUUAUGCCAAGGCCCAUCAUUUAGGGAUACCGCCGAUCUCAUGAAAUCGAAGUACAGAUGGGAACGCUGGAUUUGCAUUGUUAAUGAAUGAUGCUUUUAUGAGCACCAAUAAAGGAGCAUCGGUUCAACUGUCUUGACAGAUAAUAACCUCUGCAAUACACCCAAUGCAUUGUUUAAUCCGUAAAAUACAAAUAAAAGUGCAAGUGUCAAAAGGAAUGAAGCGAACGACUCCCUCCUAAAUCUGAUUUAUGGCAGUGACUCUGUCCUGAGUCUUUUUUUUAAUAAAGGUUAUAAAGAUUUCAGUAUUCACGCAGUCUUCUAUACUGUAUAACGCAGGCAUCUUAUAGAAAUUGGGCGAGAUGGCAUAUAAAGAAGCUUUGACUUUACUGAGCUUUAAUGUUACUAGUUUUUAUGAAUGUAUAGAGCAUGGUGAUGGGCUUAUAUUUGAAUAUUUAAAGAUUAUAAUUAUAAUCAACAAAAAGUAGUUAUUGAAGUUGUUGAUUUGAGCCUAUGCAGUAAUUAUCUUCUAUUUAAAAUGAGAUCUAAAGGGGUAAAGGCAUUUCUUCUCAAAUUCCUAUUUGGCAUUUUAGCAUUAGGGGUACUUAGGGUUAAAGGGUUACAUAGUUACAUAGCUGAAAAGAGACUUGAGUCCAUCAAGUUCAGCCUUCCUCACAAAUGUUGUUGCUGUUGAUCCAAAAGAAGGCAAAAAACCUGGUCUGAAGCGCUUCCAAUUUUGCCACAAACUAGGAAAAAAUUCAUUCUUGACCCCAAAAUAGCAGUCAGAUGUCUCUUUGGAUCAAGCAGCUAUUACCCCACUAAUUAGAAAUUAUAUCCCUGUAUGUUAUGUUUUUGGAAGUAUUUAUCCAAUUUCAGUUUAAACAUCUGUAUGGACUCUGACAAAACCACCUCUUCAGGCAGAGAAUUCCAUAUCCUUAUUGUUCUUACUGUAAAAAAACCUUUUCUUUGCCUUAGAUGAAAUCUCCUUUCUUCCAGCCUACAUGUGUGACCUCGUGUCCUAUGUAAAGCCCUGUUUACAAAUAGAUUUCCAGAUAAAGGUUUGUACUGGCCCCGUGUUUCAGGUUUUGGGGGCUAGAUGUCUUCAGAAUGCUUUGGAUUGUAACUCUUGUGAUUCUUGGUCAGGGAAAGGUGUUACUGUUACAUAUGAAUUAUUCCUUAGUAUGAAUGUGUUUAUAGUACUAAGAUUGUAGGAUUCUUUUCUACAGAUUAUAACUUUUCAUACAAAUUUAUUGCAAUCAUGAUGAGUUGUGUUGUGGUACGGUCCUGAGUGUUCCGAAGCUGUGUUCUAUGCAAUCAGGGAAAAGCAAGCAAGGACGGAAGACGUUAAGGGGGAAAUGUGUCCCAGAUCACUAGUGUACGGGCUUACACCAUUUCUCUAAAGAUUAUAGUAGUUCCCAUCUGUCAAAUUCAUAUAACCUAUGCUCUGCAUGAGUAGAAUCACUCAUACAGAAAUCCUUGUGUUUUGUGUGCGAAAAAGGCAACUCAUUUGUUUUUUCUCCCCAGGCCAAAUGUUGACAGCCCUUCUUGUAUAUAACAAUGAGCUAUCUUUUAUUAAAUUUACAAUCCAUUUAACUUAGCAUUUAACUGCUUUGUACAUCAUUCACACUGAUUAUAAACAGUUCAAUUUGAUAUGAUGUAAAAUGUAUGUCAUUUAUACCUUUAGAUUGUAAGCUCAUAGGCAGGGCCCUCUACCUGUUGUAUCGGUCUGUUCUUAUGGUUUUGUCUUUUUCCCAAAUGUACAGCGUUGCAGAAUAUGUUGGUGCUUUAUAAAUACCAGUAAUAAAUAAAUAAGCAACAGGAUAGUUACAUCUGAUGACCUGGUGAACAACUGGAUAAAUGAGCUUCUAGAUAGAGCCUUUUCCCCCCCAUACAUUAGACUAGUCUGAAUGCUGGGGGUAGAACAACCUUUAUUGAAUCAAAGCACAUGUGUGUGCAAUCACAACAGGGGGUUGUCAACAAAACAAUACAAGCUUCUUGGUGUCUGGGACAUAGUUAGGUUAAGACACCAUAACUCAAUUAUCUGCCUGACACCAAGACGUAUUGCACAAUAAUAGUUAUACCGUAACAUAAUAACCUUCCCUCUGUUUACAUUUUAUUUAAUAACUCGGCAAUAACAAAACGCCCUCCUCGUUCAAAAGCCUGUGACUGGGCACCCAUUCUGUCUAAUAAGCACUGUGAUCAUAGAAUCCUUGCCCGAAUUAUAACAUGUUAAACUUUUACUGGGUUGCGACUAUUCUCUGAUCUGUCUUAGAGUUUCAAGUGUGCGGCUGCUUUUCCUGGACUUACAAAAUGGGGUUCAAGGGGCUCCAGGGAGGCCAGUACACUGAUACACUAUGUUAUGUGUCCCUGGAAAACUCUAUUCUGAGUGCCCAUGAUGGCUAAAUAGCGCCCUGACUGGAGAAUCCACGCCCGAGUUAUAGAAUGUUAAAGUUUGACCGGGCUGCGGCUAUUCUUCAAUCUGGGUCAGAGUUCCAGGCCGUUUGUUCAUAAGUCUUGGUUACCUAUUCUCGCCUCCAGUGGGUUCGGGGUUGGGAGCUCCCUCAAGUACAAGGUGUCUUUCGAUGCCUCUCUUCCUCCCUGAUCUACCCUACAAAAAGCACUCUGAUAGACACCUAUCUAUCUAAAAUUUUACAGGACCGAAGCAAUUUCACAAUCCAACCAAAAGUUCCACAGAGAUUGUGAGUUGCUCCUGGUCAGGUGUGCCAUGCCUCUGUAGUCUCCCAGCCAGCUUGUGGUGACUCCUGGAUCCCCGGGAAAGGGACACUGAGCUGGAAGGCACGGAAUGGAGGGGUAACUGUAUGGAUUAUAGUCUUUUCAGAGAGGAGAUGACUGGGAGUCCUGCACAAGUUGUUAGAAUAGCAAUGUAAGUAAAAUAACAUAGUACAGCAGAAAAAGUGUUUUUUGGGACCAGUCCCAUAGUCUUUAGGCAGGAGGCUAGCCUUCAUGCUUCGCCAAGAGUCUGUGGCACGGGAGUUUCCGUCACAAUAUUGGUAUCUGGUUUUCAAACUAUUUCCCUGCAUGCUUUGCUGUAUUUGAUAGGACACCAGUGGAAAUGAUACAUAACAUUUAGCAACACCUAUUGAUUCCAAUGGGAAACAUUAAAAUUGUUUUUAUAAUGAACAAUUUUAGAUGACUUUAACAUUUUUCAAGAUGCUUUCAUUCAGAUCUACCACUAAAAAAAUAUCUAGUGCUUUUGGUCAUUUAGACUCCUAUUAAAAUAUUCUUAAACCAAAAUCUCCAGUCAAUUUUAAAUUAAUGCAGUUAGGAAUACCGAUUCCAAGCGGAAAAAUAAAUGUAACCGUAAUCUAAUUUUGGACAGCCAUUCAUGUUGUUAUUAUUAUUGCCAUUUAUAUAGCGCCAACAGAUUCCGUAGCACUUUACAGUAUUAUGAGAGGGGGGUUUAACUAUAAAUAGGACAAUUACAAGAAAACUUACAGGAACGAUAGGUUGAAGAGUACCCUGCUCAAACGAGCUUACAGUCUAUAGGAGGUGGGGUAUAAAAUACACUAGGACAGAAAUAGCAAUCAAAUAAGGUGAGAAUUAGGAAAGAGCAAGAGACAGUUAUGUAAGGUAGAGGUUACUCUGGGGGGCCAUAAGCUUUCCUAAAGAGAUGGGUUUUAAGGCACUUCUUAAGCGAUUGAAGACUUGGGGAAGGGUCUGAUGGCGGUAGGCAGGCUAUUCAAUAGGAAGGGAGCCAUCCGCGAGAAGUCCUGCAAGCGUGAGUUGGCCAUACGGGUGUGAGCAGCGGACAGGAGAAGGUCACGGGCAGAGCGGAGGGAACGAGGAGGGGCAUCAUUGUUAUCAUCCAAACUGGUGCUUAAGAAAAACCUUGUAAAGACUAUGGGCAAAACUGGGAAAGUGUAAGUGAUGCAACUAAAAGAAGAGAUCUUUGUUGGCCCUCACAUCAGGAAGCUACUGAAUAAUGAUGUCUUCGCAGACAAACUGAAUUUAGAAAACUGCAAAGAAAUCAUUCAUAUAUGUGGUCCAGGGUUUUCUCUGGAAUCACAAAGAGGAAAGCUACCAUCAACUCAUUCAAGAUGUAUUCCAAACCUAUGCAAAUCUUAGCUGCCUUUAAAUAUCUACUUUCUGCACUGCAUCUUGACUUACAUUAAUCAGUGACUAAAUUAAAACCACUUGCCUAAUAUCAUGUAGGUCCCUCUCGUGCUGCCAAAACAGCUCUGAUGCGUUGCGGCAUGGACUACACAAGACCUCUGAACGUGUCAUGUGGUAUAUGGCACCAAGACAUUAGCAGCAGAUCCUUUAAGUCCUGUAAGUUGUGAGGUGGGGCCUCCAUGGAUCGAAUUCGUUGUUCCAGCACAACCCACAGAUGCUCAAUUGGAUUGAGAGCUGAGGAAUUUGGAGGCCAACACGAUAUCUUGAUUUUUUUGUUGUGUUUAUCAAACCAUUCCUCGGGGCAGCAGGCAUAAGCACUGUCGGUGCUGAAAUCAAAGAUCUCCCUCACCAGCUAGUAUAUUCUUCUGCUGGGAGGUCUUGAAUAGAGGCUCUACUUGAUUUUCAUCGUCAGCCAUGUUGCCUGAUACCAAUGCUCUGAUACAUUCCCCCAGAACCGGAAGGACAAAUUCUCCAAUUUGUUUUUUUAAUUAAAAAGAUUUUUUUUUUUAUUUCUGUAAUACAGCACAUGUAAUACAGCACAUGUUAUGGGCAUUUGCAAAUAUUAUUAUUGUUUUUUUAAUUAAACGUAUUUCUUAAAUUGUGUACUUUGUCUUCAAGAGAUUUUGCAAACUGACAAGUUGUUAGAACUGUAACAUAUUGUUUUUCAUACAAUGUUUCUUUAGUAAAUGACCUCUUACCGAUAUUCAGUGAACAUGGUGUUCAGACUUUAGGACGCCAUCUUGCCUUAGGAUAGUGGAAUUCCCCAAGUCGGGGAAUUUCCCAUGUCAUGUAUAUACUUUAAGUUUUAGUCUAAACAAAGAUAAGAUGUCUUGGUCAUGACAAUAGACUGAGUAAAAUGUUUCCUUGUAAAAUGACAAGGCUAUGUCAUUUAAUGCUCGAGGCCUUGUAUCUUUGCCACGUUAAGAUAGGUCCUAACAUGACCUAAUUGAACAUCUAAGGUAUAAAUAUGUGUACUUAUUAAUAAAAGACAGAGGAGAGAAUAUUGGAUGCGGAGACGCUGCUCCAUUUUAUCAUGAAUGAGAGAUUGACUUGUUCAAGAGGGUAUGUUAUUCUAUUUUAUUGAUAUUGCAAGCAUAUACUUUAAUCUUAUAAACUCUGCAAUAAAUUAUUGUAAUGGAUUGUUAAGUUUUUAUAUGUCUAUAUUUAUAUUUUUAAUUAUUCAAAUAUUUUUUAAAAACAAUAAAAAAACUUCAUUACUUCCAAGACAAUCUCUGCUUUAAUUGUAUUCUCAAUUAUUUAUAUAUUUUAAUUAGAAAAACUCUUACUAACUGUGGCAAAAUUAACCUCGCCACUUGUGCCUGCGAGGACUGCUUGCCAGCCUCUUGCCAUGUGAUUGUGGUCCCUGGGAGGUUUGGCCCUUUAAAUACAAGAUUUGAGCAUAAUGGAUUUUCGUUGUGCUGCUGCUGGCCCUUUAACUCCCAGAGAAAGGAUUUGUAUUUUUAAAUUGGCACUUCGGAUGCAGUCAAAGUCCCGAAGUAGUCGAAGUGGCCGCCAUUCGAAAACCGAACACGUGGCCAUUUUAAUUUAGUCGAACAUGGUCAGCGGUGCAUGCCACUGAAUCUAUGGAACUAAAAUCGGCUACGCAUUUGCACGAACACUGCUGACCCUUACCUUCUCAGGAACUUCUACGCUUCGGCCGGAAUCGAAGUGCGUUUGACAAUUCGAACACAUUGUUAGACUGGGCUAUUUGCACGAACGUAUCUAAUAAAAGACCACCCAAGUGCAGCAAAAAUAAUAUAAAAUAAGGUAAAAAAUUACUUCCCUUAAAAAGUCUAGGUUGUAACAAGAAGUUCCUCAGAGCUUCAAAGAAUGCAUACAAGAUAUAAGAUACACCUAGAUAAAAAAUAACAAGAAAGGAACAAUCAUAGGGAAACACCGUUUAGUAGAUGGUACCCUAAAGUAAUAUUGCACUCACGAAAUAGUGAUGAAAAUCAAGCCCAUCUAGAUUUUCUUUGAUCUUGUCAGGAAGCCUUGUGAGGAGAUGGUUAAUGCCUCAAAUGAAGAAAAACCGAACAUAGUAUAGAAUUGUAUGGUAAAAAGGAAUUACAUUUUAUUGGAAACACUUACACAAAUUGUAGAUAAAAACGCCCAUCAAGUAAAUGUCUCCCUUGUAAGGUGAUAAUCAAAGGUUGAAAAUACAGAGAUGGCAAAUCAAAUGAAAUAAAAUAAAAGCAGCUCUAUGCGUUUCGUCUAAAAGACUUAGACUUCCUCAGGAGCAAUAAAUAAAUAAAAAACAAUCAAAUAGAUUACAAAUUACAAUGUACUGAGUCCAUCAAUAUUACUGUUGUCUUCUGUUCGGUCUUCUUUUUAAAUCUCUUUUGCCGGGUUCUCAUUCACGCCGUCCAAUCUGUGCACUUAGUAACAGCUGGUUGCAAUAAACAGAAGUCCCAUUCCAUAUAUGGACUUCCGUUAUUCACUUCGUGGAGCGCAUCUGCGUUCCACCUAGCAGGAAAGGAAAGGUCUCUUCUAUCAACAUCAUCAGUUGGAACGCACGUGCGUUCCAUUUAGCCGCUAAGCCAUUAUCUUCACUAAAAAUAGUUCAUACUUGUGAGGAAGAUGAUAUGACAGAGAAAUAAAAUUAUAUACACAAAACAUGAUAUGUACAUAAAUAACCCACAAAAAAUAAAUACAAAAAAACUAGUACAAAACAAAAAAGGAGAGAGAGAGAGUGAUAUGCCCAAAGGGAAGGAUCUUGGAUACAUCUAUAAAUAAAUAAAUAUGUGAAUAUAUAAAAAAAAAUAUAUAAAAAAAAUAUAUAAAAGGAAAGUAAAUAAACAUGAAAAUGAAUAAAGUAAAAAAAUGAUAAUAAUAAAAUGAAAUAAUGAAAUAUAAAUAAAUAAAAAUGAAAAUAAAAAUAAAUAUAAAUAUAAAUAUAAAAAUAAAAAUAAAAAGUGAAAUAAAAUGAUAAUCAUAAUAAAAAAUAAAAAUAAAUAUAAAAAUAAAAAAUAAUAAUAAUAAUAAUAAUAAGGAUACCGUUAAAGAAAACAAACAAAAUCAAAAUCCACAUUCAACCCAUAUGGUUGAAGGGUUUUGAGUUUAUGGAUCCAAAAUCCUUCCCUCUGUCUUAAUUUCAUGGUGAUAUCUCCACCUCUUACGUCAAGUGUUACUUGUUCAAUAAUCACCCAAGAGAAAACGUGAGAAGAAAAAAGGGGGCACUGAUUACAAUGAACAGGAACAGAAUGAUCCGUCUUUUUGCGUCUAAUAUUAUUUUGAUGUUCUAAGAAACGCAAUUUGGCCUUUCUUCCUGUUCUCCCCACAUAUUGGACACCACACCCACAUGUGAGGAGGUAUACAACAUGUGAGGAAAAACAGGUCACCCGACUUUGGAUCUGAAAAGUUUCUUGGGUUAUAAAACUCUUAAAAGAACGAGUAUAAGGAGGUAAGCCUUUACAUGCUUUGCAGGCACCACAGGUAUAAAACCCUUUUUUUGCCUUCAAUUCCUGUUGUUCCCCACUUCGAAAAUGGCUAGGUGCUAGGUAGGAUGAAAAACUCCUCCCUUUCCUAUAUACUAUUUGAGGGUAUGAGGGUAAUUUGGAGCCUAUAAAUUGGUCAUGUCUUAAAAUCUCCCAAUGUUUUUUGAAAAUUUUGUUAAUUGCAAAAGCUUUAGAGUUAUAGUUAGUAUGAAAUGAGAAUUCAAAUUUCUUAUUCGAGUUCUCAGUGCAUUUGAUUUUAUCAAUUAAAAGAUCACCCCUUUGAAUAUUCGUUAUUUUCUCUAUCUCUCUAUCCAAGGCCCCCCUGUUAUAACCUUUCUCGAUAAAUUUAUUGGUCAGAAUAUUUGCUUGUUCUAAAAAAAACUUCUUUAUUAGAACAAUUUCUUCGAAGUCAGGUAUAUAUUGGCUUCUGGGUACUCCCGACAACCAUCUUGGAUGGUGUCCGCUUGAUGAUUCAAUAUAAUUAUUAGUGUCAGUGGGUUUGAAGUAUGUUUUAGUUUGAAUAUGACCUUCUUGUAUAAAUAUGGUCAGGUCUAAAAAAUCUACGGUGGUAGAAAAAAUACAUAGGAGAAAAAAUAAGUGAAAAAGUGUUGUCAUUAAGAUAUUUUAAAAAAUUUAAUAAACGUUCCUCAGACCCCUUCCAUAUCACAAGGAUAUCGUCAAUAUAACGACGCCAGAGCACCAGAUCUGCCCUGAAUGGAUUAUGUUCCCAAAUAAAUUGGCGCUCCCAAUAAUCCAUAAAAAUGUUGGCAUAACUCGGGGCAAACCUGGUGCCCAUGGCAGUACCCUUGGUCUACAGGAAGAACUCAUCAUUGAACAUAAAGAAAUUAUGGGUGAGUAUAAAUUGAAUCGCUUCAAGCAAAAACUGGGCAAAACCCUGAUUCAAGGAAAUGUCCUUGUUUAAAUUAUCACUCACGGCUAAUAAGCCUAAUUGAUGGUCAAUAACAGUAUAAAGGGAUCCCACAUCUAAAGAUGCCCACAUAUACCCCUCUUGCCACUCGAUAGAAUCGAGUUCCUGUAAGAGGUGCUUCGUGUCUUUUAGAUAAGAUAAGGAGGAUUGGGCAUAUGGUUGUAAAUAAUGGUCAAUAAAUUGAGAUAAGUUGGAAGUCAAAGAGUCAAUUCCACUGAUGAUCGGUCUACCAGGUGGAUUUAUUUGACAUUUAUGAACUUUAGGCAAAAAAUAGAAUGUUGGAACUCUAGGGUAUUCUUGAUAUAGAAAACGAUAAGUUCCAACAUCUAUGUUCUGCUCUUCUACAGCUUUAUCCAAAAGAGUCUUAAGUUCAUAUUUAAAGGUUUCAUUCGGACUCUUAGAAAGUCGUAAAUAAGUCUCGGCAUCCCCUAGUAAUCUAAAAGACUCAUUUAAAUAAUAUUCUCUUGUCAUGACCACAAUGCCCCCUCCCUUGUCAGCAUUCUUUAUAAUAAUAUCUUUCCUUUUCUUUAAAGAAUUAAGGGUCCGCAUUUCUGCUUUAGUUAAAUUAUUGCAAUAUUCUUUCUUGCUAGUUAAUUUUUCAAGGUCUGCCAGAACCAUUUUCUGGAAUGUUUCAAUUUGGCCACCCUUCUCAUAUGGACAGAAGGUGGACCGAGAUCUGAAUUUUUUAGCAAUAUCCUGGUUUAAUCUGAAUAUUUUAGCAAUAUCCUGGUUUAACGCGUAGAGCUGCUUUUAUUUUAUUUCAUUUGAUUUGCCAUCUCUGUAUCAACCUUUGAUUACCACCUUACAAGGGAGACAUUUACUUGAUGGGCGUUUUUAUCUACAAUUUGUGUAAGUGUUUCCAAUAAAAUGUAAUUCCUUUUUACCAUACAAUUCUAUACUAUGUUCGGUUUUUCUUCAUUUGAGGCAUUAACCAUCUCCUCACAAGGCUUCCUGACAAGAUCAAAGAAAAUCUAGAUGGGCUUGAUUUUCAUCACUAUUUCGUGAGUGCAAUAUUACUUUAGGGUACCAUCUACUAAACGGUGUUUCCCUAUGAUUGUUCCUUUCUUGUUAUUUUUUAUCUAGGUGUAUCUUAUAUCUUAUUUGCACGAACGGCCUCGUUUGUGCAUUCGAAUGGGACUUAGACAUUUUUCUGUGUGAAAUUGACCCACCGCACAGCCCAACUCUCUGGAACUCUUUUUGGGCAUGAAAAUGUGCUUGCGGUCUGUCAAAGGUCACUUAUAUGUAUAUCCCGAACGGCUGAACGGAUUCGAAUGAUUUUUGGGUAUGUUUGUAUUUGAAAUGUGCUGAUUAAUAAUAUGUGACUUUUAUUAAUAUUGGUUGUAUAGUUUGAGAGUUAUUAAAGUUGGGUAAAAAGUAUGUUUUAAACUGUAUGGAAAUUGGGUUACCUCUCAGGCUAAGGGGAGGAGAUGUGUGGGAUGUUAUCAGUUUGUGAUUGGGUAAUUCAUAAUUGUCUGUGGGCGACUCUCUUGCACGGGAGAAUUGCAUAAAAGCAGAGUGUGUGUCAUUAAAAGUCAGUCUUGUUCCAGCAUUAAGCUUUGGCUCAUGUGUGGAUUAUUUGGCGAUACCAGCGAUUUAUUACUUUGUGGAUUACUUGGUGAUUUUAUUUUAUGGGAAGAAGGGAAUGCUUGACGGUGAUACAGAUUACUACCGUCAUACUAACUAUAUAAUAUUAUAGCUAAGAUAUCUGUAUGGUUAACCAUGCUAAAUUCUAUGCUUUAUUAGAUGUUAUAGUGGUAAAUAGGGGAACCAGCAGCAGUUUAAAUUCUUAGAAUAUCAAGAGCUAUAUCAUGAGCUAUUUGUAGCCCACACACAGAGAGAUCUUUAUCACUGAGUGAUGAAUUUAUGUGAACUUGUACAAGGCACUUGGAGUCCAGGUGCUAGGUACAUUGUAUUCAGCAUAUAAUGCUGAAAUUGUGGAUCUUAAAGCACUGUCAUGGCCACAUCGUUUAGUUUUUUUAAACCCCCCUCCCGACUCCACUAUAUCUUAUUGCCUCCCUUGUCCCCCGCAUAUGCCCCUAAGCCCCCUAUAUUACCUAUUUUUAAAUCUUCAUUUCGUGCCCGGACCUAGGUCCUGGGUGCCACCAUCUUUGUGUGGGCAGAUGAAGGCCAUGUAGGACAGGUCAUCUACCCACACUAGAUAGUGCUGUAAAAUUACCUCGCAUGCCCAGUUAAACACUUGGGCAUUUGUUAUUGCCCGAAAUUUGGAUGGGAAUUUUGUUAAUUCAUUCAUCAGAAAGACGAAUCAAUUAAUAAAAAUUCAGACGAACAAACACUGAAUAUCGUUGUUCAUUCUAUUGAUUUCAAGGAGGGAGCUACCGGUUCACAGUUCCCUCCUUGUAAUAUGCAAAAAUAGAAGCGGUUGUGCUCCCCGCCACUUCCUAAGCCCCCCAUGUCCUCCAUCACUCUAUGGGGAUGAAUAUGACCCUGACAUUAGCAUAAGGGAGAUUGAAAUCUCCCGAAUGCCCCUACUCGCUAAGCCGCUUGUCUACUAAACCGUGAGCAGCCUGUGGCUGCUCACUGUUGUAAAAAAAAAAAGCCCUCCCCCUUCCAAUAAAAAUGGCCCCAUGGUGGGGCAUCUAUUAACUAGCAGGGAGGACAUAGUGUUUUUUUUGCCCCCCCGGGCCCCACCCAUGAGCGGUGGGUGGGGGCCCUAAAUGACAAUAGAGGGGACCUGUUGUUCCCACCCCCACCCAUUGGUGAAAGGUGGGGGCCCUAGAAGACAAUGGCCCCCACUCAUGAGCAGAGGGUAGGGGCCCUAAAUGACAAUGGGGGGAAGGGGGAGGACUUAUUGUCCCCCCCACGGUCCACACCCCAAGCCCAUAGUCAUCUCCCCACACAAAAAAAAGAAAAUAAAGCCCUACCUACCCCCCUCACCCUACAAAUUGUGAGGGGGGAACAAUAAAACUAAAUACCUGAGAUUUGGAGGAGGGCCCUGAGGAUGGCUUGGAGGAGGGCCCCCGGGGGCCCAGACCUUGAGCUGUGUUAGGGGCCCAAAAAAUUUCUGAUGGCAGCCCUGACUAUAUGUUCCUGUACAUAGCCAUGAAAGGACCACUAUAGGCACCCAGACCACUUCAGCUUAAUGAAGUGGUCUGGGUGCCAGGUCCAGCUAGGUUUAACCCUUUUUGUUAUAAACAUAGCAGUUGUUUAUAUUUAUAUUAGGGUUAAACCAGCCUCUAGUGGCUGUCUCAUUGACAGCCGCUAGAGGCGCUUCCGCGCUUCUCACUGUGAUUUUCACAGUGAGAAGACGCCAGCGUCCAUAGGAAAGCAUUGAGAAUGCUUUCCUAGGGACUGGCUGAAUGCGUGCGUGGCUCUUGCCGCGCAUGCGCAUUCAGCAGGUGACGGAAGAAGAGGGAGGAGGAGAGCUCCCCACCCAGCACUGGAGAAAAAGGUAAGUUUAUCCCCUUCCUCCCCCCAGAGCCCGGCGGGGGGGGGGCACCCUGAGGGCACUAUAGUGCCAGGAAAACGAGUAUGUUUUCCUGGCACUAUAGUGGUCCUUUAACUACCGGUAGCUGCGCAGACUGUGUGCGCAGAAAGAGAGAUUAAUGCAAGAUAUUGUCAUGAGAAUAGUGAUAACACAAGCAAUGAAAGCAACAUUUGCUAGUAGAUUUCUAAAUCUAAUUCCAAGAAUGCAAAUAAAUUAUAUUAUGGCUUAAUGGAAAAACUCAUGCCACAGAAGGGUUUAUCACCUCGCAUGCAACAGACAGACUAGAUUUUAAUUAUUGCAUUAAUGCAUUCUGGAUUGUAAUAUCCACUAUAUAGGAAAAGUUUUAUGAAACAUGACUUUAAAAAAAACAAAAACAUUCAUUGCAGUGCAGUACACUGCAACAUAUCUUUUAUAUAAUAUAUGCUCACUAGCUUAUAUUUUUAAAUAAACAGUUGAAAACUAUACCCCCCCCCCCCACCCCCAGAAAAUCUGUUAACAUCAAGAAAUCUAGCACAAGGGCAACAGGUUGUUAUACAUCCGUUGCCUCACUAAAUGCUCUGCAAAAAUAUACAUUUAUAAAAUAUAUAUUUAUAAUAAAUCAGGGCAAAAUAAAAUUGUAAAUAAACGUGAUAUUUGAUAACUUUUUCAUUGAAAUUGUUGAAAGGUUUUAUUUAAAUGAGUAUUUUAUUGAUACUGCAAGCAUAUACCUUAAUCUUAUAAACUCUGCUAUCAAUUAUUGUAAUGGAUUAUUAAGUUUCAAUAUGUCUUUAUUUAUAUAUUUAUUUAUUUUUAAAUUCUUUAUUUUUAUGUUUUUUGCUCAAACAUCUAUAAUAACCAAGUAUCAACGGUUGGGCUUACGCAGAAGCCAAAUUAUGGGUAACAUCUUAACAGUUACAUGCAAUUCAAUCUUUACAGUAUGUGUUCAUAUUUAACGGAGCCAUGAGGAUUUGAAGGAUUUUUUAUAGUAUAAUUCCUCAUUACAUUUUAUCGGUUUGACCGGAAUACUUAGGUGUGGAAAGGGAGUGUCACUGACACAGAGGCAAAUUGAGGCCUAACGAUGAGCUAUAUAAUGUUUUAUAUGUCGUGUAAGUCUUGUGCCGUUAUUGGUAUAUCUGUAUUGUCAGUAUCCGAUCUGUAGUUUGAUAUUUUCAGGUCCUUAGAUAUAUUUAUAGGAUUAAUAGUCUGAGGUCUAUCUGGGAUUUCUAGGGCUCCCAUUACGUUCGUUACGUUGACCUUGGCUGAGGAGGUUGGUAUGCAGAGUAAUUAUCGAAUAAGAAAUUGAUUUUUCCCGUACAGGUGCGGGAAGAGAAAAAUUAAGGAAUUAGAAAAAGGGAGACUGAGAAAGUAGUAUGAGGUAAAGGAGCAUUAUGUGGUGAAUGUGGUGACCCAGAGGCGGCGAGGAAAGGACGUCAAGGGAUGACAUCCGAAUGGGGGGGGGGGGACGACGACAGCAGGCUCAGCCAGAUCUCUCUAUGCCAAGUGUGUCGAAUGGAUCCUCCGAUCGGAGGAGGACUCCGCUACUGGUUUAGCUUUACUGUAAGGACCCCUUUACAUCUUUCGUUCAAUCCUAUCUGUCCUCUCUAGAGCCCACUACGCUAUUAUCCCAUGGUUCCCAGAGUUUUAGAAAUGUUUCUGUCGAUCCCUUCACUCUUGCUGUUAAGUCGUCCAUAAUCCUACAUUCGCGGAUCCUGGAUACCACUCCCAGAAACUCAGGUGCGUCUGGUGAAAGCCAUCCCGUCGCAAUUGUUUUUCUUGCGCUUAGGGUUAUUUUAUAGACUAGUUUCUGUUCUCUCUUGGUCCAUCUGUCUACCGACCUGUUUAAGAGGUAUACCCAUGGAUCUCUGGUCAGGGGUUUGUUAAAUGUUUGUUUCAGUAGGUUUUCUGUCUCUUUCCAAAAUCCAAGAAGUUUUGGGCAUUCCCACCACAUGUGAAGGUAUGUACCUCGGGUUCCACAUCCCCUCCAGCAAUCAUCGGUAUCCAUUUUGUGCAUUUUAUAAAGUUUUACGGGAGUUGUGUACCAUCUAAACAUGGUCUUCCACGUCUGUUCCUGUAGCGUGACACAUAUGGAGGCGUUUUUAUUUGCUUCCCAAAUUUCUUGCCAUUCGAUGCCUUCUAGUUCUUCUCCUAGUUCUAUCUCCCAUUGGUCGGUGUAAGAUAGUCGCCCCCAUUCUUUGGUUUCUGUGCUAAGGUGAGCGUACAUUAGGGUUAUCAUGCCCUAGGGGGUCCUUUCGUGAAGGCAUAGUUUCUCGUAGAACGUCAUAUUUCCUUGAGCUGCAGCCUUUAUAUGUGGUUUCCUAGCGAAGUCUCGGAUCUGUAUAUAUCUAAAGAAGUCUGCGGGAGUUAGGUGGUUAUUUUAUUUAUAUUUUUAUUUCAUAAAAUAUUUAAAAAGACAAAACUUUAUUGCUUCCAAGACAAUCCCUAUUUUUAUUGUAUUCUCAAUUAUUUAUAUAUUUUAAAUAGAGGAACUCUUUCUAACAAACUAUAUCUGUACGGUUAGCCCUGUUAAAUUCUAUGCUUUAGGACGUUAUAGUGGUAAAUAGGGGAACCAGCCAUGGUUACAAGGGACUAACCCCAUAUUAAAGCCUUUAUCCUCCAGUAAAGCCCCUAUACCCCCACUAUGAUCACUAACCUCCCCAUAUUAGCCCCUAUAUCCCCACUAUAGCCGUUAUACGUGCCCCAUAUGGCUACUAUUACCCCCACAAUAGAGCCCCUAGACUCCCAUUACAGCCACCAACAUUCCAUCCCAGUACAGCCUCUAUUCAAUCACUAUAGCCAUUAUCUCCACACUAUGGCCACUAUCCCCCCACUAUAGCCCCUACACCACCACUAAUAUUAUUGUCAUUUAUAUAUUGUUUACUUAUUCCUUAUAAAGGGGGUAAUUGAACAAUAAAUUAGACAAUUACAAAAUGUUACAGGAACAAUAGGUUGUUGAGGACCCUUCCCAAAGAGACUAUAGCCUCUAUCUCUCCACUAGCCACUACUUUCUCACUAUAGCUUUUAUCCCCCAGUACAGCCCCUACACACCUAUUAUAGCCCCUACAGACCCUAUCCCUGUAAACACAUAGUAAAGCCCUAGUCACCAAAAACCUAGUCACAUUCACCAUUCAAUCAUACCAUAAACAAGUCGCAUUAACACAUCCAUUCGAAUACCCCAACUUUUUGUGUGUGUGUGUGUGUGUGUGUGUGUGUGUGUAUGUAUGUAUGUAUAUAUAUAUAUAUAGGAGGGUAAAUCUUUCCCUGAAGGAACUUGUCAAAGUAACAUCCACAUGAACACAUGAAUGCCAGGACACAAGGUUUCCCAGCAGAACAUUACUUAGAGCAUAACACUGCCUCUGCUAGCCUGCUGUCUUUUAUAGUGUAUUCUGCUGCAAUCUCUUCCACAGGUAAAUGACACAGAUGCACCUAGCCAUCCACCUGAUCUAAAAUAUAAAGAAAGAGUUUAAAGUGGUGAGAUUGGGUCAGCUAUAUCACAGAGGGGUUCUUUAGGAACAGGGCCGACCCUAGGGUCACAGACGCCUGGAUGCCGGCAGGCAGCAGAUCCUCUCUUGCCAGCCUGGCCUGUGUGGAGUGUUGCCGUGGAAACUAGUGGCUACAGCUGUAUUGGCUGUACCCCCCCCUAAUUGCAGCCCUGACCACAGAGGAGAGAUAUCAAGGCAAGUGGGACCCAGCAGUGAAGGGUGACCACAGCUGAUUCUUGCUAAAGGACAAUAUCUCAACACGUAAAACUUCUAAGAAGUGUAAAAGAUCUCAAAACAUAUUUUCUUUUUUUGUGUCUCAAUAUAAUUUAAAUUGUUACUUUAUAUUCAGUGGUCUAUAACUAUGAUGUUUGUAAUUUUUUAACUUCCUGUCAAUAACUACUGAGAUUUAAAGGGACAUUAUAGUCACCAGAACAAGUACAGCUUAAUGUAGUUGUUCUGGUGAAUAUAGUCCAUGCCUGCAGGAUUUGUGCAGUAAACACUGUCUUUUCAUUACAGCCUAGGACACCUCCAGUGGCAGAAGCAGAUCAGGG